rnacentral:rRNA from 1 species
AUGACGCUCAUCAGUUGGAACUGCCAGGGGAUUGGCCAACCCCGGACAGUUCGAGAGCUUGUGGAGCUUGUCCGCAUUCACAAGCCCAAACUAGUGUUCUUGUCCGAGACUCAGAAAAGCUUUGAGUUCUUGAAUAAUCUGAGACGGCUAGGUCUCCGUCAUUGUAUCGUGCAAGUUGGCUCUGAGAAGGGUUUCAGCAUGGCUUUCUUCUAUGAUGAAAGUGUCAAAACUAAUAAAAUCAUUGUUGGCCCGAGGAACAUAGAUGUGUUGAUCCGCUUGUGUCCUAAUGGUGUGCAAUGGAGGGGUACUUUCAUCUAUGGGGAACCGAGAGCUCGUGAGAGACAUCAUAUGUGGGAGCUCUUGAGAAGAAUUAGAUGCAAUGCAUCCGAACGAUGGCUCAUGAUAGGUGAUUUCAAUGAAACUAUGUGUCAAAGCGAGCACUUCUCGCAAGCUAGGAGAUCUGAAUCAAAUAUGGCAGAGUUUAGGAGGGUGCUAACAGAUUGCAACUUGCAUGAUCUGGGGUAUAAGGGCACGACUUGGACGUACGAUAAUAAGCAUAAGGGCCUAAACAAUGUGAGGGCAUGUUUGGAUAGAGCGGUGGCUUCUCUUGAGUGGAGCAGGGUGUUUGGAGAGGCAUCGGUCCAGCAUAUCUGCUCAUCCAGAUCUGAUCAUUCACCACUUUUGUUGCGCCUCGGCAAGAGACAGGAGUGGAGGCCAGUAAAGAAAACUUUCAGGUAUGAGGAAAUGUGGGACAGAAAUGACACCUUAUCGGUUGUGAUCAGUGGCGCUUGGAGAGAGCGGGACAUGGAAGCGAGCCUCAAAGGGGUAGCCAGCAAACUAAUGACUAUACAGGAUGUGCUGAGUCGAUGGGCCCAGAGAGAGUUUGAUUCGGUUCAGAAUAGCAUUCGAUCUCUUCGAGGGAGCCUUCAGAAAUUGUGCAUGCUUCCCCCAUCCCUAGGAACAUAUUCAAGAAUAAAGAAGAUUGCAACAGACCUCGAUGAAUGGCUACUACAGGAGGAGCAAAUGUGGAAGCAGAGAUAA